UGCUCCGUCGUCCAACGGCAGGACAAGGGUCUUUGGAACCCGGAAUCUUGGUUCGAAUCCAGGCGGAGCAGCCA
rnacentral:tRNA from 1 species